rnacentral:rRNA from 1 species
AUGAACGCUGGCGGCGUGCUUAACACAUGCAAGUCGAACGGGGAUAAGACAUCGGAAGAGCUGCUUGCAGAAUGGAAGAAGUCAUAUUCUAGUGGCGGACGGGUGAGUAACGCGUGGGCAACCUGCCUUAUACAGGGGGAUAACAGCUGGAAACAGCUGCUAAUACCGCAUAAGCGCACAGCGGCGCAUGACGCAGUGUGAAAAACUGAGGUGGUAUAAGAUGGGCCCGCGUCUGAUUAGCUGGUUGGGAGGGUAACGGCCUACCAAGGCGACGAUCAGUAGCCGGCCUGAGAGGGCGGACGGCCACAUUGGGACUGAGACACGGCCCAGACUCCUACGGGAGGCAGCAGUGGGGAAUAUUGCACAAUGGGGGGAACCCUGAUGCAGCGACGCCGCGUGAGUGAAGAAGUAUUUCGGUACGUAAAGCUCUAUCAGCAGGGAAGAAAAAAGGACGGUACCUGAGUAAGAAGCCCCGGCUAACUACGUG